AUUGAACGCUGGCGGCAUGCUUUACACAUGCAAGUCGAACGGCAGCGCGGGGCAACCUGGCGGCGAGUGGCGAACGGGUGAGUAAUAUAUCGGAACGUACCCAGAAGUGGGGGAUAACGUAGCGAAAGUUACGCUAAUACCGCAUACGAUCUACGGAUGAAAGUGGGGGACCUUCGGGCCUCAUGCUUUUGGAGCGGCCGAUAUCUGAUUAGCUAGUUGGUGAGGUAAAGGCUCACCAAGGCGACGAUCAGUAGCUGGUCUGAGAGGACGACCAGCCACACUGGGACUGAGACACGGCCCAGACUCCUACGGGAGUCAGCAGUGGGGAAUUUUGGACAAUGGGCGCAAGCCUGAUCCAGCAAUGCCGCGUGAGUGAAGAAGGCCUUCGGGUUGUAAAGCUCUUUUGUCAGGGAAGAAACAGCCGAGGCUAAUACCUUUGGCUAAUGACGGUACCUGAAGAAUAAGCACCGGCUAACUACGUGCCAGCCGCCGCCGUAAGAC
rnacentral:rRNA from 1 species